rnacentral:tRNA from 1 species
GGCAAAAUAGCUCAAUGGUAGAGCAUAUGUUUCAUAAUCAUAGGGUUAGGGGUUCAAUUCCCUUUUUUGCUA